rnacentral:rRNA from 1 species
UACGGAGGGGGCUAGCGUUGUUCGGAAUUACUGGGCGUAAAGCGCACGUAGGCGGCUUUGUAAGUUAGAGGUGAAAGCCCGGGGCUCAACUCCGGAGUUGCCUUUAAGACUGCAUCGCUAGAAUUGUGGAGAGGUAAGUGGAAUUCCGAGUGUAGAGGUGAAAUUCGUAGAUAUUCGGAAGAACACCAGUGGCGAAGGCGACUUACUGGACACAUAUUGACGCUGAGGUGCGAAAGCGUGGGGAGCAAACAGG